AGGGAGGGAGGGGGCUUAAAUGGGGAGGGGGCGAAGCGUGAGGUCAUGUGAGGAGGGGGGGUCUCGACCUGCCCCCCCCGCAGUGUGGCGUCUUAAGGAGGGAAGGGGUCAGGCCCCUUUUCUCAAUGGAGGUCUAUAUGGGGAAGGGACCCUCUCCAAAAUGAAAGGGUGUGUGUUGGGGAGGGGUCUUCCAUCAUGGAGAUCUUACGAUGGUCAAGUUCAAGAUAAAUAAGGUUUUUAGGAUUCACAUCCCCUCCCCCAAAUAGGAUGUGCGUGGAGUUGGGUUAAUAAAAGAUUGGGGGGGGUGCUCCAAUGUCUGAUGGGGAGGGAAGAUGGGGGCCUUUGUGGCUUUUAUCAUAUUACUGGGUCACAGGGAGGGGGGCUGGGACAUCCCACCAAUGAUGGCAUAUUAUAGGGUGGAAUCUUAUGAAGGUGAAGAAGUGGGAGGGGUUCAAAGUGUCUUUCCUCCUCCCACCCCCCAUUUUUUUAUUUUUACCCAUGUUGGGGUUUGAGGAGCUGGAAGUGGAUGGGUUAAUAGGAGAUGGGUGUAGAGGAAGAAAAAGCUGUAUAUGGCCAGCUUUCUCCUCCCUUUGCAAAGGACCUGGGGGUGAUGAAGUCUAAGGGAAAUCUUUUAACUUCUCCCCAAAAGCGGGAGGAGUCGAGAAAGGAAUCGCCUCAAAAACAGCUGCACCUGUGGAACACCCUCCCCUUAAAAAUGAAGGUGGAAGUCUUCUUGGAAUGGGCUAGGGGGUGGAGGAGUCCCAAAAGGCCUCAUAAAAGUAUGCAGUGCUGGCAGAGAGACUUAUAAAGGUUGGGAUGCUGAGAAGAGGAUCCCUUAAAUAAGGGGGGAUUUGAUAAAAGAGGGUGAUGUGACGAGAUAAUAUGAUAAAGGGGUUUGCCUGUCUUGAAAUGGGAAGAACAUAAUAAUUUGCAAAAUUCAGAGCAGGUGGAUAGGAAAGGGGGUGCCUUUAAAAGGAGAUUCUGUUGUGUGACUAGAAAACCUCAUUUUGAGGGCACUUGAACUGCUGAGAAAGAGAAAUGAUAGUGGACACCUGAUGGGGG